UACGUAGGGGGCAAGCGUUGUCCGGAAUCAUUGGGCGUAAAGCGCGUGUAGGCGGUCCGGUAAGUCCGCUGUGAAAGUCGAGGGCUCAACCCUCGAAUGCCGGUGGAUACUGUCGGGCUAGAGUGCGGAAGAGGCGAGUGGAAUUCCUGGUGUAGCGGUGAAAUGCGCAGAUAUCAGGAGGAACACCUAUUGCGAAGGCAGCUCGCUGGGACGUUACUGACGCUGAGACGCGAAAGCGUGGGGAGCAAACAGG
rnacentral:rRNA from 1 species